rnacentral:rRNA from 1 species
UGGUUAAAAAGCUCGUAGUUGGAUCUCGGCGGACUGAGGGCGGUUUGCUUGCUAGUAUUACUGCCCUAUAGUCCGUAGUUUUGCCAGAGGUUUCGGGGUGCUCUUAAUCGAGUGUCCCGGGAUGCUGGCAGGUUUACUUUGAAAAAAUUAGAGCGCUCAAAGCAGGCUAUUACGCCUGAAUAUUCGUGCAUGGAAUAAUAGAAUAGGAAGUCGUUUCUAUUUUGUUGGUUUUCGGAAAUCGACUUAAUGAUUAAUAGGGACAGUCGGGGGCAUUUGUAUUCAAACGACAGAGGUGAAAUUCUUGGACCGUUUGAAGACAAACUACUGCGAAAGCAUUUGCCAAGAAUGUUUUCAUUAAUCAAGAACGAAAGUUAAAGGUUCGAAGGCGAUUAGAUACCGCCCUAGUUUUAACCAUAAACGAUGCCAGCUAGCGAUCUGCGGACGUUUUUUUUGUAGACUCCGCAGGAAGCUUCCGGGAAACCAAAGCAUUUGGGUUCCAGGGGAAGUAUGGUUGCAAAGCUGAAACUUAAAGGAAUUGACGGAAGGGCACCACCAGGAGUGGAGCCUGUGGCUUAAUUUGACUC